ensembl:lncRNA
CACAGUGACUUUAUAAGAUGCUGACAGAGCAGCCUACUGUCAACACAACCACAGUGGCUUUAUAAACGCUGACAGAGCAGCCUACUGUCAACACAACCACAGUGACUUUAUAAACGCUGACAGAGCAGCCUACUGUCAACACAACCACAGUGACUUUAUAAGAUGCUGACAGAGCAGCCUACUGUCAACACAACCACAGUGGCUUUAUAAACGCUGACAGAGCAGCCUACUGUCAACACAACCACAGUGACUUUAUAAACGCUGACAGAGCAGCCUACUGUCAACACAACCACAGUGACUUUAUAAACGCUGACAAAGCAGCCUACUGUCAACACAACCACAGUGGCUUUAUAAAAGCUGACAGAGCAGCCUACUGUCAACACAACCACAGUGGCUUUAUAAAAGCUGACAGAGCAGCCUACUGUCAACACAACCACAGUGGCUUUAUAAAAGCUGACAGAGCAGCCUACUGUCAACACAACCACAGUGACUUUAUAAACGCUGACAGAGCAGCCUACUGUCAACACAACCACAGUGACUUUAUAAACGCUGACAAAGCAGCCUACUGUCAACACAACCACAGUGGCUUUAUAAAAGCUGACAGAGCAGCCUACUGUCAACACAACCACAGUGGCUUUAUAAAAGCUGACAGAGCAGCCUACUGUCAACACAACCACAGUGGCUUUAUAAAAGCUGACAGAGCAGCCUACUGUCAACACAACCACAGUGGCUUUAUAAGUCACAUUAUAUUCCCCAGUAUAAUGUUAAUUAAUAAGACACAUUAUAUUCCCCAGUAUAAUGCUAAUAAGACACAUUAUAUUCCCCAGUAUAAUGCUAAUAAGACACAUUAUAUUCCCGAGCAUAAUGCUAAUAAGACACAUUAUAUUCCCCAGCAUAAUGCUAAUAGGACACAUUAUAUUCCCCAGCAUAAUGCUAAUAAGACACAUUAUAUUCCCCAGUAUAAUGAUAAUAAGACACAUUAUAUUCCCAGCAUAAUGCUAAUAAGACACAUUAUAUUCCCCAGCAUAAUGUAACAUCUGAAAAGCUUAAGCACGUGUUAUUUUAUUCCAUCCAGUCAGAUCAUUGUCUUCCACAUGAGCUCAGAGACUAGGGAGGGGGACUGCACGUGUGUAUGUCUGCAUGUAUUAGACCAGACAGAUGUUGCAGGUCCUGCUGGGUAGUCUUCAGGGUCGCUUGGGAACAGAGAGCAUGUGCUUAUUACUGAGAAGUGCUGGGACUCACACCUAGGAUGGUAAUUACACACACACACACACACACACACACACACACACACACACACACACACACACACACACACACACACACACACACACACACACACACACACACACACACACACACACACACACACACACACACACACACACACACACACACACACACACAGUUCACCCAUGUCUAAAUCAGAGGAGGUUUCUGUGGGUCACCUUUUGGAGCAGCAGAGCACCAGAGUAUUUUGUUGAAAGACCAAUAAUUUGUUUUCCAUAAGAGACGGCCCACUGCUGAACCCUGAAAAACAGAAAGGAAAUACAGGAAAUCAGUGUAAGCUUU